rnacentral:rRNA from 1 species
UACGGAGGGAGCUAGCGUUGUUCGGAAUUACUGGGCGUAAAGCGCGCGUAGGCGGCUUUGUAAGUUAGAGGUGAAAGCCCGGAGCUCAACUCCGGAAUUGCCUUUAAAACUGCACCGCUAGAAUUGUGGAGAGGUGAGUGGAAUUCCGAGUGUAGAGGUGAAAUUCGUAGAUAUUCGGAAGAACACCAGUGGCGAAGGCGACUCACUGGACACAUAUUGACGCUGAGGUGCGAAAGCGUGGGGAGCAAACAGG